UCGCGAACCGUUACUGCCUGGACUACUCCGUCUCUUAUUUGUUUGUUUGCUCAUUAACAGUAAGAGGUCAUGUACACUGUGGUCAACUUUGUGGACGAUGAAGAGGUUUCUGGGUAAAGAUGAUAGAAAUAUAAUGAAGUAACAGUGAAAGCUAAAACAUCAGACUGAUCCAGACACUGAAGAAAUUGGUGUGACUGCAAUCUGGCCAAAAUGAUACAACUAUAUUGAAGUAGCCUACUGUAAUGAAGCUGCAGAACAACACAGAGACUCUGAGGACAUCAACACAGAAAAUGAAGGCUCCAAAGAGAUGUCUGUCCAGAUGAGGGUGCAUCAACGUUACCUUUGCUGACAAGUAUAUGCUUUACAAUGUAAAACCUAACAGU